ACGAACGCUGGCGGCACGCUUAACACAUGCAAGUCGAACGAGAGAAGAGAAGCUUGCUUUUCUGAUCUAGUGGCGGACGGGUGAGUAACACGUGAGCAAUCUGCCUUUCAGAGGGGGAUACCGAUUGGAAACGAUCGUUAAUACCGCAUAACAUAAUUGAACCGCAUGAUUUGAUUAUCAAAGAUUUAUCGCUGAAAGAUGAGCUCGCGUCUGAUUAGCUAGUUGGUAAGGUAACGGCUUACCAAGGCGACGAUCAGUAGCCGGACUGAGAGGUUGAUCGGCCACAUUGGGACUGAGACACGGCCCAGACUCCUACGGGAGGCAGCAGUGGGGAAUAUUGCACAAUGGAGGAAACUCUGAUGCAGCGAUGCCGCGUGAGGGAAGAAGGUUUUAGGAUUGUAAACCUCUGUCUUCAGGGACGAAAAAAGACGGUACCUGAGGAGGAAGCUCCGGCUAACUACGUGCCAGCAGCCGCGGUAAUACGUAGGGAGCGAGCGUUGUCCGGAAUUACUGGGUGUAAAGGGAGCGUAGGCGGGAUCGCAAGUCAGAUGUGAAAACUAUGGGCUUAACCCAUAAACUGCAUUUGAAACUGUGGUUCUUGAGUGAAGUAGAGGUAAGCGGAAUUCCUAGUGUAGCGGUGAAAUGCGUAGAUAUUAGGAGGAACAUCAGUGGCGAAGGCGGCUUACUGGGCUUUAACUGACGCUGAGGCUCGAAAGCGUGGGGAGCAAACAGGAUUAGAUACCCUGGUAGUCCACGCCGUAAACGAUGAUUACUAGGUGUGGGGGGACUGACCCCUUCCGUGCCGCAGCAAACGCAAUAAGUAAUCCACCUGGGGAGUACGACCGCAAGGUUGAAACUCAAAGGAAUUGACGGGGGCCCGCACAAGCAGUGGAGUAUGUGGAUUAAUUCGAAGCAACGCGAAGAACCUUACCAGGUCUUGACAUCGUAUGCAUAGCUCAGAGAUGAGUGAAAUCUCUUCGGAGACAUAUAGACAGGUGGUGCAUGGUUGUCGUCAGCUCGUGUCGUGAGAUGUUGGGUUAAGUCCCGCAACGAGCGCAACCCUUACUGUUAGUUGCUACGCAAGAGCACUCUAGCAGGACUGCCGUUGACAAAACGGAGGAAGGUGGGGAUGACGUCAAAUCAUCAUGCCCCUUAUGACCUGGGCCUCACACGUACUACAAUGGCUGUCAACAGAGGGAAGCAAAGCCGCGAGGUGGAGCAAACCCCUAAAAGCAGUCUUAGUUCGGAUUGUAGGCUGCAACCCGCCUACAUGAAGUCGGAAUUGCUAGUAAUCGCAGAUCAGCAUGCUGCGGUGAAUACGUUCCCGGGCCUUGUACACACCGCCCGUCACGCCAUGGGAGUCGGUAACACCCGAAGCCUGUAGUCUAACCGCAAGGAGGACGCAGUCGAAGGUGGGAUUGAUGACUGGGGUG
rnacentral:rRNA from 1 species